rnacentral:rRNA from 1 species
UUCCGGUUGAUCCUGCCGGAGGCUACCGCUAUUGGAGUUCGAUUAAGCCAUGCGAGUCGCGAGUCCUAGGGACUCGGCGUACCGCUCAGUAACACGUGGGUAACCUGCCCUAUGCUGGGGGAUAACCUCGGGAAACUGAGAAUAAUACCCCAUAGUUCACCACGCCUGGAACGGUGGGUGGAUGAAAGCUCCGGCGGCAUAGGAUGGGCCUGCGGCGUAUCAGGUUGUAGGGGGUGUAAUGUACCCUCUAGCCAUCUACGCGUACGGGUGUUGGGAGACAUAGCCCGGAGAUGGAUUCUGAGACACGAAUCCAGACCCUACGGGGUGCAGCAGGCGCGAAAACUUGGCAAUGCGAGCAAUCGUGACCAGGGAACUCCAAGUGCAUCGGGUAAGACCGAUGCUUUUCUAGACUCUUCAAAGGUCUUGGAAUAAGGGGUGGGUAAGGACGGUGCCAGCCGCCGCGGUAAUACCGGCGCCCCAAGUGGUAGUCGCUUUUAUUGGGCCUAAAACGUCCGUAGCCGGUUUGGUACAUUCGUGGGUAAAUCAAGGCGCUCAACGCCUUGAAUUCUGCGAGCACGGCCAGACUUGGGACCGGGUGAGGUGUGGGGUACUCUCAGGGUAGGGGUAAAAUCCUGUCAUCCUGAGAGGACCACCUGUUGCGAAGGCGCCACACUAGAACGGAUCCGACGGUCAGGGACGAAGCCUAGGGGCACGAACCGGAUUAGAUACCCGGGUAGUCCUAGGUGUAAACGCUGUGGACUUGAUGUUGGGAGUGCUCCGAGCACCCUCAGUGUCGAAGCGAAGGUGAUAAGUCCACUGCCUGGGGAGUACGGUCGCAAGGCUGAAACUUAAAGGAAUUGGCGGGGGAGCACUGCAACCUGAGGAUUGUGCGGUUUAAUUGGAUUCAACGCCGG